rnacentral:rRNA from 1 species
CCCCUAGAUGUUCUGGGCCGCACGCGCGCUACACUGAACAGUUCAACAAGUCUUAACCUUGGCCGAUAGGUCUGGGUAAUCUUUGAACGCUGUUCGUGAUUGGGAUAGACCUUUGCAAUUAUGGGUCUUCAACGAGGAAUUCCUAGUAAACGCAAGUCAUCAGCUUGCAUUGAUUACGUCCCUGCCCUUUGUACACACCGCCCGUCGCACCUACCGAUUGAAUGGUCCGGUGAAAUCUCGGGACGGCGGCUCAGUCGCUUGCGUCCGACUGCUGAAACUUGAUUAAACCAUAUCAUUUAGAGGAAGGUGAAGUCGUAACA